rnacentral:rRNA from 1 species
UAGGGAAUCUUCCACAAUGGACGCAAGUCUGAUGGAGCAACGCCGCGUGAGUGAAGAAGGUUUUCGGACCGUAAAGCUCUGUUGUUGGUGAAGAAGGAUAGAGGUAGUAACUGGCCUUUAUUUGACGGUAAUCAACCAGAAAGUCACGGCUAACUACGUGCCAGCAGCCGCGGUAAUACGUAGGUGGCAAGCGUUGUCCGGAUUUAUUGGGCGUAAAGCGAGCGCAGGCGGAAGAAUAAGUCUGAUGUGAAAGCCCUCGGCUUAACCGAGGAAUUGCAUCGGAAACUGUUUUUCUUGAGUGCAGAAGAGGAGAGUAGAACUCCAUGUGUAGCGGUGGAAUGCGUAGAUAUAUGGAAGAAUACCAGUGGCGAAGGCGGCUCUCUGGUCUGCAACUGACGCUGAGGCUCGAAAGCAUGGGUAGCGAACAGGAUUAGAUACCCUGGUAGUCCAUGCCGUAAAACGAUGAGUGCUAAGU